CCUACGGGUGGCAGCAGUGGGGGAUAUUGCACAAUGGGGGAAACCCUGAUGCAGCGACGCCGCGUGUGGGAAGACGGUCCUCUGGAUUGUAAACCACUGUCCCCAGGGACGAAGAUGACGGUACAUGGGGAGGAAGCUCCGGCUAACUACGUGCCAGCAGCCGCGGUAAUACGUAGGGAGCGAGCGUUGUCCGGAAUUAGUGGGUGAAAAGGGAGCGUAGGCGGGGAUGCAAGUUGGGUGUCAAAACUACCGGCUCAACUGGUAGUCGCACUCCAGACUGCAGCUCUUGAGUGAAGUAGAGGCAGGCGGAAUUCCUAGUGUAGCGGUGAAAUGCGUAGAGAUUAGGAGGAACACCGAUGGCGAAGGCAGCCUGCUGGGCUUUUACUGACGCUGAGGCUCGAAAGUGUGGGGAGCAAACAGGAUUAGAUACCCCUGUAGUC
rnacentral:rRNA from 1 species